rnacentral:rRNA from 1 species
GAUGAACGCUGGCGGCGUGCUUAACACAUGCAAGUCGAACGAGAACGGAAUAUAGCUUGCUAUAUUUGUCAGCUAAGUGGCGCACGGGUGAGUAAUGUAUAGAUAACCUGCCCUUAAGAAAGGAAUAACAGUUGGAAACGACUGCUAAUGCCCUAUAUGCCUUUAAUACAUAAGUAUGCAAGGGAAACGCUUUAGUGCUUAAGGAUGGGUCUGUAUGGUAUCAGCUUGUUGGUGAGGUAAUGGCUCACCAAGGCUAUGACGCCUAACUGGUUUGAGAGGAUGAUCAGUCACACUGGAACUGAGACACGGUCCAGACUCCUACGGGAGGCAGCAGUGGGGAAUAUUGCACAAUGGACGAAAGUCUGAUGCAGCAACGCCGCGUGGAGGAUGACACAUUUCGGUGCGUAAACUCCUUUUAUAUAGGAAGAUAAUGACGGUACUAUAUGAAUAAGCACCGGCUAACUCCGUGCCAGCAGCCGCGGUAAUAC